UGCACGUGUAGGUACAGGCCGCAACUAUGGUCGAAACUGCGAACGGCUCAUUAAAUCAGUCAUGGUUCAUUGGAUCGUACUCUCCUACUUGGAUAACUGUGGUAAUUCUAGAGCUAAUACAUGCAACUCAACUCCGACCCCUCCGGGGGAAAGAGCGCUCUUAUUAGAUCAAGACCAUCUCGGGUGCUUGCAUCCGAUCAUCAUGGUGACUCUGGAUAACACGUUAGCCGAUCGCAUGGCCUUGUGCCGGCGACGCUUCCUUUAAAUGUCUGCCUUAUCAACUGUCGAUGGCAGGUGACUUGCCUGCCAUGGUCGCGACGGGUAACGGGGAAUCAGGGUUCGGUUCCGGAGAGGGAGCCUGAGAAACGGCUACCACAUCCAAGGAAGGCAGCAGGCGCGCAAAUUACCCACUCCCGACACGGGGAGGUAGUGACGAAAAAUAACGAUGCGGGACUCUUUGGAGGCCCCGUAAUCGGAAUGAGAGCAAUUUAAAUCCUUGCACGAGGAUCAAUUGGAGGGCAAGUCUGGUGCCAGCAGCCGCGGUAAUUCCAGCUCCAAUAGCGUAUAUUAAAGUUGCUGCGUUUAAAACGCUCGUAGUUGGAUCUCGGGUGAGGAACGGUCGGUGAGGGCCUCAGUGCCUUCCACUGCCGUCGCGCCCCUGUCCGGUGGUCGUUCGGUCGUGGCCGUUAGCUCGGUCGUGGUCGGGGGGCUGCCGCAGGGGGGCGAGAUACUUCCCACCUAAACCACCCGUCUCCUCCUCGCGUGCCCUUGACUGGGUCGGGCGGGGCGGUCGGGUCAGUUACUUUGAGAAAACAGGAGUGCUCAAAGCAGGCAGUUCUCGUUGGCCAUUGAACGAGUUGUGCAUGGAAUAACGGAAUAGGACUUCGGUUCUGUUGUGUUGGUUUACAGUUUGCCGAGGUAAUGAUUAAGAGGAACGGACGGGGGCAUUCGUAUUGCGCCGGGAGAGGUGAAAUUCUUGGAUCGCCGCAAGACGAACUACUGCGAAAGCAUUUGCCAAGCACGUUUUCAUUAAUCAAGAACGAAAGUCAGAGGCUCGAAGACGAUCAGAUACCGUCGUAGUUCUGACCGUAAACGAUGCCGACCGGCGAUGCGCCACGGUCGUACAAAUUGACCUGGCGUGCAGCCUCUCCGGGAAACCUCGAGUCUUUGGGUUACGGGGGAAGUAUGGUUGCAAAGCUGAAACUUAAAGGAAUUGACGGAAGGGCACCACCAGGAGUGGAGCCUGCGGCUUAAUUUGACUCAACACGGGAAAACCUACCUGGCCCGGACACCGUGAGGAUUGACAGAUUGAGAGCUCUUUCUCGAUUCGGUGGGUGGUGGUGCAUGGCCGUUCUUAGUUGGUGGAGCGAUCUGUCUGGUUAAUUCCGAUAACGAACGAGACUCUAGCCUGCUAACUAGUUCGUCCGCAGAGCCCCUUGUGGCCGGCGGACGUGGUGCUAGGCAAUGCUAGUUGCUUGCCUCGAGGCCUCUCUUUUCGGAGGGAGUGUCGAGGGGCGGGCUUUUACGCGGAGCCCUGGGCCUAUUUUGAACUUCUUAGAGGGACUAAUGGCUUUCAGCCAUGCGAGAUUGAGCAAUAACAGGUCUGUGAUGCCCUUAGAUGUCCGGGGCUGCACGCGCGCUACAAUGAAUGAAUCAGCGUGAGUUACCUCCUGCUCCGAGAGGAGUGGGCAACCCACUGAACCUCAUUCGUGAUAGGGAUUGUGCAUUGAAAUUUUUGCACAUGAACGAGGAAUUCCCAGUAAACGCGAGUCACCAGCUCGCGUUGAUUACGUCCCUGCCCUUUGUACACACCGCCCGUCGCUACUACCGAUUGGACGUUGCAGUGAGGCUUUCGGAUCGGUCCCAAGCUGUCGGUGGCUCCG
rnacentral:rRNA from 1 species